rnacentral:rRNA from 1 species
CGCAUCUGUGCAUGCAGCAUAUCAAUAAGCGGAGGAAAAGAAACUAACAAGGAUUCCCCUAGUAACGGCGAGUGAAGCGGGAAGAGCUCGAAUUUGAAAUCUUAAAGGGUUUCCCUUUACGAAUUGUAGUUUAAAGAAGUGUUUUCUGUUGAGGUUUUGGUAAAAGUUCUUUGGAAUAGGACAUCAUAGAGGGUGAGAAUCCCGUAUUUGACCUUUACUUUCAACUUUGUGAUACACUUUCAAAGAGUCGGAUUGUUUGGGAAUGCAGUCCAAAAUGGGUGGUAAAUUUCAUCUAAAGCUAAAUAUUGGCGAGAGACCGAUAGCGAACAAGUACCGUGAGGGAAAGAUGAAAAGAACUUUGAAAAGAGAGUUAAACAGUACGUGAAAUUGUCAAAAGGGAAGCGUUUGACACCAGUGUUGUUUUUCUGAAAAUCAAUUAAAGAACUGUUUAUGCUAAGUUGUUUAGACUUUAUCAGCUAACUGUCUAGUUUUGAGCUUUUCUUUAAUGCACUUUUCAGUUAACAAGUCAACAUCAAUUUCUUUUGCUGUAAAAAAGCUUGAGGAAGGUGGCUUGAGAUUCGUCUUAAGUGUUUAUAGCCUCUUGCCUAUGCAGUCGGAGAGAUUGAGGUCUGCAGCGUAGAUCCUUCGGGGCUAAAUGCAUUUGUGCUAAGUUAUAGCAUUUUAUAGACAACUUGUUGACUAUGAUUUGUCUUGUAGCUUACUCGCUUAUGUUAUUUUACCUACGCUUAGGAUGUUGAACGCGCACAGAGUCUC